rnacentral:rRNA from 1 species
UGCUAAAUAGGAUCGGGAACCUCGGUUCUCGCAUCACUUCUUAGAGGGACUUUGCGUGUCUAACGCAAGGAAGUUUGAGGCAAUAACAGGUCUGUGAUGCCCUUAGAUGUUCUGGGCUGCACGCGCGCUACACUGAUGCAUGCAACGGGUUUUUGACCUUGGCCGGAAGGUCUAGGUAAUCUUUUGAGUAUGCAUCGUGAUGGGGAUAGAUUAUUGCAAUUAUUAAUCUUCAACGAGGAAUGCCUAGUAGGCGCAAGUCAGCAGCUUGUGCCGAUUACGUCCCUGCCCUUUGUACACACCGCCCGUCGCUGCAACCGAUCGAAGGGUCCUGUGAACUCGAUGGACAGCCCAUCCCCUUCUUGGGGUUGGGCUGGAAGUUGCGUAAAUAGAGCCCUUUAAAGGAUGCAAAAGUCGUAACACGGUUUCCGUAGGUGAACCUGCGGAAGGAUCAUUC